rnacentral:lncRNA from 1 species
UCAAUUUUGUCACAUGUGGCAGUCAAUUUGCAUAUGUGGACUGACACGUGGCACUUGGACACAGUGACACGUGUACUGUUCAAACGUUGAAAGUGACAAAACUAACGGAAAGGACUAACUUGAAACCUAAAAUAAACGUAAGGGACCAAAUUGAUACUUUUUAAACGUAAGGGACCAAAUUGAAACCUAAAAUAAACGUAAGGGACCAAAUAUGUAGUUAAGCCAUU